rnacentral:tRNA from 1 species
AAGUUUAGGUAAUCAUKAAACCAAGAGCCUUCAAAGCCCUAAAAAGAGACAAACUCUAACUUCUG